rnacentral:misc_RNA from 1 species
GUGAAUCAUCAAAUAUUUGAACGCAAAUUGCACUAUCUGGUAUUCCGGAGAGUAUGCCUGUUUGAGGGUCAGUUUAAAUAAAAAUCGGUGUGGUUGCUGCCUUUCGUGGUGACGCACCGGAUUUGGGUCGUCUUGCCUUCGGUUAAGUGACCUAAAAUUUUGUAUGAUUUUUUUCGAAGGUAUUCAAAUGAUUUUAUGUACGUUUGAGAUAAAGAAUACUAGGUGUGGUCAUAUUGAUGAUGAGCGCC